UACAGAGGUCUCAAGCGUUGUUCGGAUUCAUUGGGCGUAAAGGGUGCGUAGGCGGCGCGGUAAGUCGGGUGUGAAAUCUCGGAGCUUAACUCCGAAACUGCAUUCGAUACUGCCGUGCUUGAGGACUGGAGAGGAGACUGGAAUUUACGGUGUAGCGGUGAAAUGCGUAGAUAUCGUAAGGAAGACCAGUGGCGAAGGCGGGUCUCUGGACAGUUCCUGACGCUGAGGCACGAAAGCGUGGGGAGCAAACAGG
rnacentral:rRNA from 1 species